CCAGCCAUGUGUCAGUUUUGUGGUGCAAAGCCACGAAUACACCUUAAAUUGGUUCUUUUAAGAAAAAGACUUGGCUCAGAAAAUUAUCCUUCUUUAUGCAGCCUGUGGAGACAAGGUUUCUUAGACAUGGCCAUGGCCCUCAAGGAAGAUGCCAAGGCCACAGGCAGUUCCUCCAGUGACCGUGAAAAGGUCCCCUGGGGCACAAGUCUAAUUUGGCACCCCUACCUUUCUCCUGCAGCUUUUCUGUCUACUUAGCUAACCAGCAGCAAGUUUAUCCUUGCAAGCAUUUUGGGUCAAGAACAACUUUCACCAGGAAGAAGUGCAAGACGAGUGAUUGAAGAAAAUAAAGUUGCUUCUGUGAUCUAAGAA